GAUGAACGCUGGCGGCGUGCCUAAUACAUGCAAGUCGAGCGAACGGACGAGAAGCUUGCUUCUCUGAUGUUAGCGGCGGACGGGUGAGUAACACGUGGAUAACCUACCUAUAAGACUGGGAUAACUUCGGGAAACCGGAGCUACUACUGGAUAAUAUUUUGAACCGCAUGGUUCAAGAGUGAAAGACGGUCUUGCUGUCACUUAUAGAUGGUUCCGCGCUGCAUUAGCUAGUUGGUAAGGUAACGGCUUACCAAGGCAACGAUGCAUAGCCGACCUGAGAGGCGGAUCGGCCACACUGGAACUGAGACACGGUCCAGACUCCUACGGGAGGCAGCAGUAGGGAAUCUUCCGCAAUGGGCGAAAGCCUGACGGAGCAACGCCGCGUGGGUGAUGAAGGUCUUCGGAUCGUAAAGCUCUGUUAUUGGGGAAGAACAUAUGUGUGAGUAAAUGUGCACGUCUUGACGGUACCUAAUCAGAAAGCCACGGCUAACUACGUG
rnacentral:rRNA from 1 species